UACGAAGGGGGCUAGCGUUGCUCGGAAUGACUGGGCGUAAAGGGCGCGUAGGCGGAUGGCACAGUCAGAUGUGAAAUUCCCGGGCUUAACCUGGGGGCUGCAUUUGAUACGUGUUGUCUUGAGUUCGGAAGAGGGUCGUGGAAUUCCCAGUGUAGAGGUGAAAUUCGUAGAUAUUGGGAAGAACACCGGUGGCGAAGGCGGCGACCUGGGCCUGUACUGACGCUGAGGAGCGAAAGCGUGGGGAGCAAACAGG
rnacentral:rRNA from 1 species